rnacentral:rRNA from 1 species
GUGCCAGCAGCCGCGGUAAUACGUAGGGGGCAAGCGUUGUCCGGAAUCAUUGGGCGUAAAGCGCGUGUAGGCGGCCCACUAAGUCCGCUCUGAAAGCCCGGGGCUCAACCCCGGGAGGCGGGUGGAUACUGGUGGGCUCGAGUCCGGAAGAGGUCAGUGGAAUUCCCGGUGUAGCGGUGAAAUGCGCAGAUAUCGGGAGGAACACCAAUGGCGAAGGCAGCUGACUGGGACGUGACUGACGCUGAGACGCGAAAGCGUGGGGAGCAAACAGGAUUAGAAACCCUCGUAGUCC